AAGCAGCUUGCUGCUUUGCUGACGAGUGGCGGACGGGUGAGUAAUGUCUGGGAAACUGCCUGAUGGAGGGGGAUAACUACUGGAAACGGUAGCUAAUACCGCAUAACGUCGCAAGACCAAAGAGGGGGACCUUCGGGCCUCUUGCCAUCAGAUGUGCCCAGAUGGGAUUAGCUAGUUGGUGGGGUAACGGCUCACCAAGGCGACGAUCCCUAGCUGGUCUGAGAGGAUGACCAGCCACACUGGAACUGAGACACGGUCCAGACUCCUACGGGAGGCAGCAGUGGGGAAUAUUGCACAAUGGGCGCAAGCCUGAUGCAGCCAUGCCGCGUGUAUGAAGAAGGCCUUCGGGUUGUAAAGUACUUUCAGCGGGGAGGAAGGUGUUGUGGUUAAUAACCGCAGCAAUUGACGUUACCCGCAGAAGAAGCACCGGCUAACUCCGUGCCAGCAGCCGCGGUAAUACGGAGGGUGCAAGCGUUAAUCGGAAUUACUGGGCGUAAAGCGCACGCAGGCGGUCUGUUAAGUCAGAUGUGAAAUCCCCGGGCUCAACCUGGGAACUGCAUCUGAUACUGGCAGGCUUGAGUCUCGUAGAGGGGGGUAGAAUUCCAGGUGUAGCGGUGAAAUGCGUAGAGAUCUGGAGGAAUACCGGUGGCGAAGGCGGCCCCCUGGACGAAGACUGACGCUCAGGUGCGAAAGCGUGGGGAGCAAACACGGAUUAGAUACCCUGGUAGUCCACGCCGUAAACGAUGUCGACUUGGAGGUUGUGCCCUUGAGGCGUGGCUUCCGGAGCUAACGCGUUAAGUCGACCGCCUGGGGAGUACGGCCGCAAGGUUAAAACUCAAAUGAAUUGACGGGGGCCCGCACAAGCGGUGGAGCAUGUGGUUUAAUUCGAUGCAACGCGAAGAACCUUACCUGGUCUUGACAUCCACGGAAGUUUUCAGAGAUGAGAAUGUGCCUUCGGGAACCGUGAGACAGGUGCUGCAUGGCUGUCGUCAGCUCGUGUUGUGAAAUGUUGGGUUAAGUCCCGCAACGAGCGCAACCCUUAUCCUUUGUUGCCAGCGGUUAGGCCGGGAACUCAAAGGAGACUGCCAGUGAUAAACUGGAGGAAGGUGGGGAUGACGUCAAGUCAUCAUGGCCCUUACGACCAGGGCUACACACGUGCUACAAUGGCAUAUACAAAGAGAAGCGACCUCGCGAGAGCAAGCGGACCUCAUAAAGUAUGUCGUAGUCCGGAUUGGAGUCUGCAACUCGACUCCAUGAAGUCGGAAUCGCUAGUAAUCGUGGAUCAGAAUGCCACGGUGAAUACGUUCCCGGGCCUUGUACACACCGCCCGUCACACCAUGGGAGUGGGUUGCAAAAGAAGUAGGUAGCUUAA
rnacentral:rRNA from 1 species